CGUUCAAGGUGUUCCGCCGCACUCCGCUUGGCGUGAGUGAGGAAAGUCCGGACAGUGUAGGGUACCGAACUCUUUGAAAAAGGAGGCGCCUUUCGGGGUGACAGACAGUGCUGCAGAGAUUUAAACCGCCGAUGGCCGCAAGGCACAGGUAAGGGUGAGAAGGUGGGGUAAGAGCCCACCAGCGUGUUGGGUGACCGCACGGCUUAGGUAAACCUUUCGGGCUGCAAGACCAUGUAAACCAGUGCUUGAGGGCGACCCGUCCGAUGCUGGAGGGUAGGUUGCGUAGAUCAAUGGUGGAAGCCCUUUGGGGCAACAGAAUCCGGCUUACGGCCUUGACGUCCC
rnacentral:RNase_P_RNA from 1 species